rnacentral:misc_RNA from 1 species
AAAAAUCAAUAAAAUUCAGAGAAAAUGGAAGAAGAAGAUGCAAGAAGGUUGCGAUCGAAUGCGUUCUCUAGAAAGUCUACAGAUGAUGAGAAUUCCAACUCGAAUGACGGAAGACACGAAGAAUCAUCGGUAAAAGUUUCUUUGUAUUUGCAUUAGUCUACAGAACUUCUCCAUUUAUAAAGUGUCGAGGAAAUUCGAAAAUUGUAUACUCGUGUAGAAGGAAUGAGCAUAUACAUAUAAUGAAAACAUAUGGCUAGACCGGGAAUCGAACCCAGGACCCCUGCAAUUCUAGUCAGAAGCUUUACCACUGAACUACCCGGGCCGAUAUCCACGGUCUAUAUCAUAUGUAUAUAGUGCCCCAACUAGUUUAUAUGUAUACAUGUAUUAUCUAUCAUACAUAUGCAUAUAUCGAAAUAUGUAUUGUUUAUUUUGACUGCAUGAUUACUUUUAUACCAGAGACUCAUUAAUUAAUCUUUGGGGAUGUCCGGCUUGUCUUCGAAUAUGGACCGACACCAUCAAUGAAUAUUUGGACAGGUCUUCUUGUGUGGGAAUUGCUAUCUUUGCUAGACAAGAGGUUUUGGUUCCCUCAGCUUCCCAUAAGCAAUAUUUUUUGUGAACAAAUAUGAUCUGUAUCUUAAUUUGAAUAUUAUAGCUUUUUGUUGCCUUAGGAAGCCAAAUAGCCAAUAUGCAAAGUAUGUGAAUUUGAAUCAUAUGAGUUUGUGUUGGUAAUUUGACUCCUUUAAUACCAUAAUUUGUGUACCAUUAAGUUUUCCUUCCCAUUUAUUCUUGCAGAGUAAACACUUGAGAAUGUUACAAUUUAAAAAUCCAGGAAAAUUCAUGGAAGAUUUUGAUCCAGAAAGAAGUGCUCGGGAGAUGAGGAAGAUGAAUAGACGUAUCUACAGAGAAAAGUACGUCAUUUACUGGUUACCACAGAGAUUCAAUUUUCUUUUUAUUUUAUUUUGGAAAUUUAAAGUAUAUUUUAAUGACUUAUCAUGAACUCUAUUCCUCAUGUAUGAUUUUUGACAUCUGCAAUAAGAUAAAGUUUUAGCCUAACACCAGGGACUUUGAUUUUGAAUCUUAUUAACAUAAUUUAAAUAUUUGAUCAACUUAUAGUUCAUGUUUUUAAUAAGGAGAAUGAAAGCGAUUUCCCUGCAAGUGUGAAUUUGUUAUAAGCGUAUUUGCUGUAUCAGGGUUUUACUGUAUGCAGUGAUGUGAUAACUAAGUGUGAAUUUGUUAUAAACGUAUUUGCUGUAUCAGGGUUUGACUGUAUGCAGUGAUGUGAUAACUAAGUGGAGGUUGCUGUUUUCUUCAGCAUCAAGAAGAACCAGGUGUAUGAUGAGAACGGGAUCCUGUUGGACAACAGCCAGGACCUGUGUGACUGCCUGGACCUUUCCUGUAAGGGCUGCCACUUCCCGUGCCCCAAAUGUGGCUCCCAAAAGUGUGGCGCUGAGUGUCGAUGUGGCAGGAAGUGGAUCUACGAACAUGUGGAAGUUGAAGGGACAAAUCUGAUACUGAAAUGGCCGCAGCUUGAAAAUCAGAACAAGUGGUGAUGUACACAAAGCUCUGAACCUCAAGUCAAAAUGGCAGCUAGAAGGACGCAAAAAAAGCUGGCGCUCUUUGAAAUGCCUCACAAAUUGAAGAUCUGUUGAGAGGAAUUUUAUCUACAGAGGAGUACAGGAAUCACUUUAAGAAAGAUAGAUGCCUGAUGUGAAUUUUCAUGCAUUUGUUGUUGUGAACAAUGUAUUUCAAAAUGGCCACUGGUUGUACAAUGUCUGUAACAUUUGAAGCAUUCUUCAAUACAAUCAUAAAUCAACAUC